UAAGAAACCAAAUGGCCGUCCAUGACAGAACGAGACUGAAAGUUUUUGGUUAUGAUAAGUGGUAUAUUUUGCCAUCAGUAUUUUGUUACUUAUGGGACAUUAUUAAUUGAUAUGUGAAAGUGAUGUUUUGUGUAAUUAACUAGUUUGGUGUUACAUACAAAUUAAUAAGGAUUUUAUUACGAAAUACACGAGUUAUAUACCUUUAUUUUGUAGAAACAACAAAUUGUUUUUUGAAAGUAGACUAUAUUUAUUUAUUUAUUAGUGGUAAAGGGUAUUUAGUCGUUUUUAUUAAUUGAAAUAUAUAUGAAUUUAUUAAAACUUAUGCACUGGCUGAAAAUAGUAUACAAUUAUAAACUUUCAUUUAGCCUAUAAGCUACAGUGUGAAAUUGAUGUUUAUAAGACUGCUUUCAAAUUCCUCAAUUCCCGUGAUGCCUAGGCUUAUGAAUUUGUAUAAGAAUUUAAAUAAAUUAAAUAUUAAUUGAAUAAAUAGUGGAUGAACCUGCCAUUCAAUAAUAAUGGCAGAGUUAGAACAAAAUUCUGCAUGCAGUGAAGAAACCAAUUCUCUUUGUGAUGAAGAAAGAGUUCGGAAAUUAUUUCAAGCUUGUGAUGGUGACGGUGAUGGUUACAUUGACAGUCAAGACUUACUGACAGUUUGUCGAGAACUUAAUCUUGAGGAUUCACUAGAGGAAUUGAUGAAAGAACUGGGAGCUGAUGAGAAUGGACGAAUAUCUUACAAAGAAUUUUUACGACGGCGAUUAGCUUUGCGGCCAGAAAUAGAAGCUCUUCGCAGCACUCCUCAUCUUCCAAGAGAAACAGUCACUCCAGACUAUCUUCCAACAAGCAGUGAUAAUAGUCUUGGUGGAGCGUCAGGAGGCAAGUGUGGGGAGAGUUGGGAAUUUGACAGUGGUGCUCGGGAUCUGAGCCCGGAGCCUAACACACUGCAGAGGUUAGUGGAAGCGGCAGGCUGUUCUCUCACUUCCACCAACACGGCCAGUCUACUGCAGCUGGCUAACAAGCUACACCUGGCGGCUCUGGCAUCCCUGCGAGGAGAGAUCUUGGAGCUGACAUCACGUCUGCAUGCGGUGACGCAGGAGCGUGAUGUGUUGGAGCGUGCUGUUGCACAGGCUGAGAACUCAGUGGCUCAGCAGUAUGAGGAGCGUCUCACCGAGCUACACUCUGUUAUUGCCGAGCUCAGCCGAAAGAUGGAGCGACAGCGUACUCUUGUUAUUGCCGAAGAGGAGGACGUACAAUCUGAAACAGAGCAAAGUAUAGAAACGUGUUCCCAAGCAGAUGAGACGUUGGCUGUAGAGGAAUCCACUCUUCCUGCAUUUGAUGAAAGCGAGUUGCAAGUCGAAGAAAUUACGGAUGCAGCAUCAAAAAAGGAGAAGAAGUCUUUUCUGGAGGAGGAACUGUUUGAACUGCGUGCUGAGAACAGUGCAUUACAGGAACAGCUCAGCAAGACAGAGGCAGAACUACAGCAAACACAGACACUACUAGCCAGCGUGCGUGAGGACAGAGACAAACUGAGGAACAAGUUAAGGGAGGGUCACCACAGUCUGCGUCCGAGCAGCUCUCCUCCUCCUCCCAGACAGGAAGUUCCAGUGCUCAAGGUGGCGGAGAGAGUGCGACUGCGUAAGAUGGACAGACAUGUCACUGGCUCUGAUCUCAUCUCUCUUGGGGUGACCAGGACUGAGGUUGCGGAGCAGCUGGUGUCAGAGCUGCAGGAAGAGUGUGAUCAGCAGGAACUGAGUUUACGGGACCGACGACAACUGGAGUUAGAGACAGAAAGGCUCUCUGCUCGACUGGAACAUUCCAGAUCACAGGUUAAUGUGCUGCAACUGACAUUGGAUGAGAGCAAGAGUCAUUGUGAAAGGUUGUGCCUGUUAGUAGGGAAGUAUGAGUCCAACGUUACAGCUCUGCGGUUGGCCCUGACAUCGUGCGACCGAGCAAUAGAAGCCUACGACCUGCUAGUGUCGCUGCUGGAUGCACAUACCAACAACGAGAAAUGUGCGGAAGCAGAUGAGCUGCGACAGCUGAUAGCUGAGCUGAAGGCAGAGCGAGCAUUAGUGCGCAACACUGUGGUGGAGCUGGAGAGUCUAGUGGAGCAGCCCCCACCCAGGCCCCCUGCCUCCACCUCACAGGCCCGCAAACUGGAUCUGGAGACUGCUGUGCUUAUGCAGGAGCUGAUGGCCAUGAGAGAGGAUAAGUGUGAGUUGAGAGCCAAGAUAUACCUGUUAGAAAGAGAGAGGGAAAACCAGGAGCUAAAGGUGGCAUCACUGCAGUCCCAACAGCAGGCUCAUUUAGCCACCAUACAACACUUACAGGCACAACUACAGGAUGCUGACACAGAGCAGGAGCUGGAUGCAGAUGGGAGGGAAAGUCGACUACGUGAGAGACUGAAGGAGGUUGCAAGCACGUUGGAACGUGUCAGUCGCAACGCCGAGCUGAGGCAACGACAAGCUUCCGAGCUGGCCACAGAGUUGAAGACUGCUAACAGUGCUCUGGUACAAAGUUUGGAGAGGUGUAAACGUAAGUCUCAAGCCAGGCUGCGGAGGCUGGAUACUCAAAUGUUGGCAAUGGUAGAGCGACAUGCAGCUCAGGUUCGCACACUAAAACAACGGAUAGCAGCUUUAGAGGAGUCCAGGGAACAGCAGCAGACGAGGCAGUCCCAGAAUUCCACCACUAGUGAGACCUCCUUGUAGACUAUUAUACCCAUCCAUAGUUACUCAUCUCAUUGGUCUCUUGGUGGAGGAUAAGAGAGCCUGAUUACUAGUCCUACUUCCUUUCUCUAGCCACUUCCAGUUUAAGUUCUUAACUAUUGUGCUGCAUAAAAGAUAAAAGAAUUCGGGAUAGGCAGAGUUCAUGAAUAAUAUCUACAUAUUGGUGUUGAGUGGCUCGUGAACAAGUAAAAGUUGGAAAGAAAAGGCAGUGACCUUCGGUGACUUACAUGUUCAUCUUUCGGCGCCUACCUAUCCCUUCCCCUCUCACUUUUCAAACACAUGACUCAUUAGUCGUAUUUACGUUAGUGUUAAUUCUAGCGUUGUUUGAUGAACUGUGUGCACUUAAAGCAAAAUUAUUGUUAAAGGUUUGAUCCGUGACUGUUGAGUUACUUUACCAAGUGACUGUGCCUUUUUUACUUAUGUUCUUAGUCCUUGACAUUAACUGUUAAACAUAAAUACGCAAAGUAAACAAAUUAUUAUUUCGUGUACUUUGUAUAAAAAACUUGAAGUGUUAAACAGACUGGACAAAAGAGAAAGUGCUAAUAAAUUGUCAGUUAAAUAUGGUGGUGGAAAAGCAACGAUUAGCGACUGGAAAAAUCAUUGUGUUAAAAUUGAGCAGUUUUGUUCUGCUUCAAGUAAGAAAAAUUCCUGAAAAAAACAACAAAAAACGACUGUGUCUUCAUAUGAAAAACCUGAUGAAGCCUUAUUCUUGUGGUUCACUCAACUGAGACAUUUCCCAUUUUUGGUCCUUGGUGGUAAAAAAAAGGGCGCUUCCCCUAAACAAGCUUAUGGAUGGUGAACCUUCAUUUUCAGCUAGCGUGGUUUUUUUGGAUUGUUAAAAGGAAAUUUACGUAAUUAGACAGGUCACGAUUGCUGGGUAGAAGCUGUCAGUUGCCAAUUAUCUAAAGUAAUUUGAAGACCUCAUUUCUUCUCAAAAUUGCUUGCCACAGCAAGUUUAUAAUGCGGAUGAAACUGGACUGAACUUUAAGGCUCUGCCUACUAAAAGUCUUGCUUCUUAAGAAGAGGAAUCUGCCUCAGAGUUUAAAAUGGACAAACGUCUGUCUUAGCUUGCAGCAACAAAUCUGCAACAAACAAACUUCCCCGCUGAUGAUAAUAGGCAAAUCAGCGAAACCAUGAGCGUUCAAAAACAUUAACAUUAACUUCUGUGUAUUGUAAGAAUAAAAAAAGCUUGGGUGGAAUGUGACUUGAUCAAUGAAUGGUUCGAUCACCAAUUUGUCCUUAAAGUGAUUGUGUUCAAUAAAGAAAAGAAAUUGGCUAUUCAUGCUCUGCUGUUUAUAUACAAUGCACCGUCCUACCCAGGAGAAAUGAAACUUAUUUGUGGAAACAUCAAAACAACUUUUCUGCCACCAAAUGUUACUUUAAUUCUUCAGCCUAUGGACUAGAGUGUGUUACAGGCCAUUAAACAAAAAUACAGAAAAAUGCUGCUUCUCAUCUUAUUUGAAGAGGAUGAAGAUGAAUUCACAAUCUUUCAAAACUUAAGAAAACUACAGUAAAAGAUAUGAUUUACUGGUUAACACGUUCAAUGCGGGUCCGGUAGAUCUACUGCACGGCUGCCUCGCGCCAGGAACGCAUGACGUAGAUCUACUGCACAGUGCCAUUGUUUAGUAACCCAGUCAGUGUGCUCUCAGCACUCGUCAUGUAUGGUUGUCCGUUUUGCCGCUCGUGGGGACAUACUUUUCCCGCGUUUUUGUGGUCGCCAUUCUCAGUUAGCGUUUUGUGGUUAGUUUUUAGACUACUUCAAAUUUUACCGUUUUUGUUGUGUGUUUAGUGUUAUUCUUGUAAUACAAUAGACAUGGAUUUGCCUCCUGGAACUAGUGGAAUCCAGAAUAGACGUCAGUUUGUGGCUAAUAGUGAUUCUGAUUAUGAAGACGACCCUGGUGUCCCUGGUUAUGCUCCGGACCUCGACGAUGAACAAUACGAGACUGAUGAGUCAGAGGUCGAAGACCCAGACUAUGACGUAAGACCAGCACAAUGGAGUCCUCAAACUAUAGGUAUGAAAGAUGUACCGUUUACAAAAGAGGAAAAGUUUUUAGUCCCUUUGCCUAAUGAGAUUACCCCAAUCAAUUUUUUCUUGUUGCUGAUGGAUGUGAUUUUUUUUAGAGGGUAUUGUGGCUACUACGAAUAGAUACGCGUUGGAGUUAUUCUGUGGACCUAAUACAACCCUAGGCUCACGAAUCCAUAAAUGGAAAGACAUUACCGUAGAGGAACUCAAAUGUUUUAUGGGCCUAUUGCUGCACAUGGGAAUAUUACAAUUACCCCGAAUUCAAGACUAUUGGAAAACUUGUAUGCUGUUUUCAACGUGCUUCCCCAAAUUCAUGGCCAGGGACAAAUUCAUGCUUAUUUUGCGAUGCAUUAAUUUUGAAAGGUACCCUAACCCAAAUAACAGAGCUUCUAAAGUACAGUUUCUAAUUGACACUUCAACAAUAAAAUGGACACAAUUUAUUAUCCUCAAAAAAAGUUGUGCAUUGACGAGGGAAUGGUUUUAUGGAGGGGAAGGUUGUACUUUAGGCAAUAUAUAUAAAAGGGAAACGCCAUAAGUACGGCAUCAAACUGUACAGUUUGUGUGACCCCCAUGGCCUAAUACUUCGUUUUUUUUUGUAUUGUGGAGUUUUAGAUGAUUACGGUGGUAAGGGACACGCAGCCAACAUUGUAUUGAAGCUGAUGCAAGGGAAACUCAAUUGUGGCCACAGUUUAUUUAUGGAUAACUAUUAUAAUAGUUUUACUCUUGCCUCAAGCCUGCUCCGUAGGAAUACAUAUUGCACUGGAACUCUUCGGCUGGACAGAAAAUACGUAUCUCCUGAAGUCAAAUCGGCAACCCUGAAAAAGGGUGAAACCAUCGCCCGCUUCGCUGAAAGCGUUGUUGUCACCAAAUGGAAAGACAAACGCAUUGUCUCUUACACAUCCACUGAGUUUGAAAAUGACAUGGUGAAUUCAAUUAAUCGAGGUGGUUUGGAGAGACUAAAAUUACUACCAAUUUUUCAAUAAAACUAUCUCUUUUUGAUCAAUUUACAUCUUUAAGUUCCAGAUACAACUUCAACCCACAUGUUUGUUAGCAUCAUACUUAGUCAUGUAAUUUUACACUUCGGUUGUGCUAUUUUUCUUAUCUAGAAAUUAACUCUUAUCUUAUUAAUUCAAAUGCUUAGUAGGUGAUUAAAUGCAUUUCAUCAACAGAUAAUUAGGGAUGCCUUUGACAGUUAGUACCAAACUAAUGGAUAAUACUUGGCCUCAUUUUAUAAUUUCUUCUUCUUAAGGCCAAACAUACAAUUUUUCUCAUUUGACAUGUUCAGUAAUAAAUAUUCACAAACUCUCUUUAAUUUUUGUGAAACAAGAAAUAGAAACCAUAAUGUCAUUUUUUAAGAGGCAUACAAAUAAAACUUGUUAGUGCAGUUUAUAAUUAUUAUAACUUGUUUAAUCUGUUUGAUAUUGUUCCAUAAAACCCCACAAUUUUAUGGAAAUCCUUAAAUUAUUUUUUAAUUUUUAAAUACAUAAUUUUUGCUUUUGUAAGAUAUGUUUAUAUAAGUAAACUAACUUACUUGUUAAACUUCUUACUAACUUGUAUUGUGAAGCAUUCUGAUCUCUUCCUCAGGUAGAUGACUAACACAUAACUACAAAUUAGGUUAAAAUAAACAAAUCAUACCAGAGCGUUGUGACACAUAUAACUCAGGAAUCACAACAAAAAUUAUAUGUAUCAAUACUGUGCACAUUAUCUCUAAAACAUACACGUAAUAAAAACAAUAAUUACUGAAAUUGUACUACAACUAAUAAAUUAAGAACCCAAAAGGGCCUUAUUAAAAUCAUGUUCUUGUUUGUUCCUCUAUGCAAUAACUCUUGUUAUUAAGGUCCAAGAGACUUGAAACUUGGUACAAAUGUUCCUCUUGUUACAAGUUAGAAUGCCAUUGAUAUUUGGGUCAGAAGGCAGCCUGUCAGUUUGCUUGUCUGUAUGAUAACUCUCGAUAGAAAAGCCGUAGAGACUUCAAUCUUGUUACAUAGGUUCCUCUUGCUCCAAGGAAGAACCAUUUUUAUUAUAUCUGUGUUGUUAUAUAUUCCUGACACUUUUAAUUUGUCAAGAUUUAACAUGCUACUAAAAGUAACUAACCAUUUUUGUUAUAAUUUACUUUUUAUAAUGUUAAUUCCUUAACAGAUUUUUACAAUUUUCAACUUUAUAAAAAGAAAUUAUCAGUUACUAUUUGUUAUACCUAUGUAAUUUAACAUGUUUAUUGUUGAGAAUAUGAAACAUUGUAUAUCUUAAUGCUUAAUGUAUGAUUAUUGAUUACUCACUAAAAGUGACAUCAAUGCUACUAAAUUGUCAUCAGGAGAUGUCGUAUCUUCAAUUUUGUUCACCGGUGGAUGCUGUCUUUGUCACUCAUCCAGGGUUUUGAAAUCCAGUAGCCAAUAUUAUAGCACAAUCAUUAUGAGGAAACUUUUCUCUUUUGCCACUGUCACUUUUUUAUAUUUUUGUACCAAAAAAAACUAUUUACAACCUCAUCCAUCUUCAUUUACUUGUAAGUAUAUAUUUUACUUGGAAAUGUUUUUGUGGAACAUGUUGAAGCACCAUAUUUUACAGAGUCCUGGUUCACCUAGGCAUAUGGCGUUCUCCAUUGUUCAGAAUGAAAAAAACACUCGACGAUUCACUAAAAGUGGACUUAAUAACAACGGUCUUAUGAAAAACAUAUCAUGGACCGGCACAACAAGUAACAAGCGACAUAACCUUCCUCUGUAAUCUAUGAGUGCCCCUUGAGAGGACUAUGUUAACUAAUGUUUUCUGCAAUAAAUGUUUAAUUGACUAUCUUUACUAUAAUAUGACCAAAAGUUCAUCUAUUUUUGGUGUAUCCAGGUUUUUUAGUUAUCAUAAAAUACAAAAACAAAUUUUGCCCUACAUACAAUAAUUAACAAACUCCAGCCACUGGGUACCAGUAGUAUUGCAGUAUAUAACAUGUAAAGGAGCAGUACAUUUGUACAGCAUUAAUAGCGUGAGUCCUGCUCAGUACAUUGCCUUCUCACAUAUUAGCAUCUCACUGUCAGUACCAGAUGUCAGUAUCACAUGGGAAAUGAUUUAAUUCUUCAUCAUUAAGAAACUUAAAGCCCUGACAAACCAAAAAUUUGUCUAGCUUUGGCCUACUCACUGAAACUGAAAACACAAGUAUAAAUAAUAUUGUGGGAAUAAUGUAUGCGUAAAUAGUUUUGUACAAAAAUAUGUGUGCUGUACAGACGUACAACUUGCAAUUUAAACAAAUAUAACUAAUUCAAUUCGAGGUUACUCAAAAUAAUGUGUGUGUGAUAAAGAAAUACGACUGACACACACAUGAGCUGUGGUCCCAGAAAUGAAAAUACUUGGAUCAUCAACACAAAGCCAGAUAACAUGCCCAAACCAUAUAACGCUACACUAAAGAAGUCAUACUUACAUCCAAACCUUAUCAAAGAACUUUGUAAAAGGAAAAUGGUGCAUGACAAAUGAACUUGCCAGCAUCUCUUCCUUAUCAUUUGCAGAAUCAAUAAUGGGUUAAUUAUCAAGAGUUUAAUAGUAGAUAGUUUCUAUAUGUGUCAGGUCUCGGUUUUAUAGCAGCAAGGUGGUUUUUCGGUACCAGAUCCAAUUAAUGGUGUAAUGUAAUAUCUUAAGAACUUUACUGAUGAAUAGGGAUUAUGUUUAAUUGCUUUUAUUUACAAAUAAUGUUGGUUUGAUCUUCUGUUUAUCAAUUUAUGAAUUACGUUGAGUUCUAAAUGAUUUGGCUGUUCAUUUAAUUUUUUUUUUUUUAUUUGUACAGUACUCUCAUACAUUCCUACAUAUUAAUUGUAGUACAUUGUGGUUGUUUUUUUUUUUCAGCACAAUAAACCCUCAUCAAACUAUGCUUUGCUCUAAUACAGUUUCAGUUUUUGGUACAUUGAUGUUUAUUUAAUUCAUGGCUAAACUAGUAAAAAUGGGGCUUUAAAACUUUAAGACUUAAAAGCUUUACACUUUGUUGUGAACACAAAAGUAAAUGUUUACAAAGUGAUUUUAUGGAAACGUAAUUUUUAGACUGUUAGAUAAGUAUGUAAAUUUUAGUAAAAUUGUAAAAACAGCAUUAUUUAAGAUUUUUUAUUUGUGUAUCAUAUUUAAUAUAUUCUACCCAUGUAAAUAAUGUUUAAUUGCUAUGAUUAUAUGAAGUUUGUUUAGGUUGUUAAUUAACUGUUACAUCACUUAACAAUGUAUUCAUUCACAAAAAUGUAUUUAUUUGUGUGCAGAGUAUUAUGAUUGAAUACUCUUCAAAGUAAUUUAUAAACACUAAUUUUUUAUUUUUAUUGUGAGUUAACCCUUGUUUUAUAUGUUUAUUAAGUGAUAUUAGUAUUAAAGACAAUAUUUUUUUAUUGAUUGGAGAUAGAAAUUAGAUACUUUUUUAUUUGAUAAUAACUAUAUUUGGGUGUAGCACAAUUUAACAUUAUCGAUGCUUUUGAUUUCAUUUGAUAAAGUAUGUAACUAAAAUAUCAAAACAACAGGGUUAAGUUAACAUGGUAUUCUUUUGUAAGUACAAUUAUUUUCUUCUGUCAGGCUAUAUAAUCAAUGUAGAACCAUAUAAUAAACAAUGUUGUAAAGAAUCUAAUCUAA
rnacentral:misc_RNA from 1 species